rnacentral:tRNA from 1 species
CUCUCUCCAAUAGCACAGUUGGUUAGAGCAUGGUGCUGAUAUCGCCAAGGCUGCAGGUUCGAGCCCCAUAAGGGACA